UACGGGGGGGGCAAGCGGUUGUUCGGAAUUACUGGGCGUAAAGGGCUCGUAGGCGGCCAACUAAGUCGGAUGUGAAAUCCCAGGCCUCAACUUGGGAACUGCAUCCGAUACUGGAAGGCUUGAAUCCGGGAGAGGGAUGCGGAAUUCCAGGUGUAGCGGUGAAAUGCGUAGAUAUCUGGAGGAACACCGGUGGCGAAGGCGGCAUCCUGGACCGGCAUUGACGCUGAGGCGCGAAAGCCAGGGGAGCAA
rnacentral:rRNA from 1 species